UGCACACGUGCACGCCGACACGCACAGGCACCAGCAUCGGCAUCUGGCUGCAUCCGAAAGCUCGGCUUCCUGCGUGACUUUCCUGGCUCAUGGCUCUGAACCCUCUGCCUGAGCACUUAGGUCAAACUCGUGUCUUGGGAGCUUGUGAUGGCGUUUUCUCGCUGAUGCUGUCGCUGGGAGACCCUUUAUCUCUGUCUCAUCUCAUGGUGUGAACCCGAGAUGACGUGUGCCUCUGUGGGCCCUUGCGGUGGAGCCGCCCCAGCCCCACGCUGUGGAACCGUGGCUCUCCCGUGGCCACGGCUCAGAGAGCUGGCUCGUGUUGUUGCGGCAAGCAGGUUCCAAGUGAAGGAGAAAUGAGAGUGACGAGGAUGGCGAGCAUAAAGGUAUUGACGUCCGCUACCAUCGGUCAAGGCGACCAGUCAAAGCGGAUGUAACAUCCAUGGCCAAAUUAGAUGCCCGUCAUGUGUGACUGCCUUUGACCUUGGAUGCUGGACAUAAGAGCCGGCGGGGCCGGUGCUGGCUCGGCCUCUGCCGUGUGCCGGGCGAACCGUGUCGACCUUCCCACUGUCCCGUCCUGCUAAAGGACAGCAGCUGCUGGUUGUUCCCUGAGACCCCGUGACAGACGUCUGCAGCCUGAGGAGUGCUGGGCCGGGAGCAAAUGGACAGCAUGUCCCUGCUGCCCCGUGGCCUCUGAGCUCACCAGUGAGCACACCGCUCAGCGACGGCCUCAGGGGGGCACCUCCCACGGAAUGCUCUGUCCCCACAAAUCCUCGUGUUGAAACCUUGCCCCGGAGAGCCAGCAAUGGCUGGGUUUUCGUGAGAAGUGAUGGCAUGGUGUUUGAAGAUGGGCGUCUUUGAUCGACCCCAGGUCCUGCUUGGCUGGUGACCGGGGAGAGGAAGGGGCUGGGGGAGCAUGGUGAGGCGGUCUGGCGCGGGGAGCUGCGGGAGAGUGCACGGCGGCUCUGGGUUCCCAGCUCAGGGACAGUGUGUGAGGCCCAGCCCCCUGGGGGCAGAGUCAGUGGGGGGAGCAGGGGCCUGGCCCCAUUGUCAGUCCACCUUGGUCCCGACCUGGUGCCCCAUCUCUGCCCCGAGAAGGCAAAGCCGUCAGCCCUUCCCUGAGGCUCCAACACGUCCUGCAUAAACGUGAACACUUCUUAGGUCUUCAGGAAGUGCUGGCACCCGGUGUCAAUCUUAGCCUCAUCCGGUUUGCCUUAUAGUAACCUCUUCUUCUCCUGUCCACUCUACGGUAAGUUUGAAAUUAUUUCUGAAUAAAAGUCUGUAAAAAAUGCUAGGACCACGUGCACGGCUCCAUUCCCCCCGGCUAGGGGUUGGCAGUGAGGGCUGCCGCCCCACCCCCCUGGAGACUGCAGGCUGAGCCCGCUGCACAGCCCACUCCUCACACCCUGCACCUUCCUUCAUUCCUCGGCUGGUUGUCUGCUUUCCUCUGGCUGCACGUGGCCGGUGUCCACAGGGCCGGCCCGUCCUCCCUGCGAAGGGGGGAUGCGUUAGGGAAGAUGUGGACAUGGGUCUGAAGGAGCUGAGUUUCAGGUUGAACAUGGGCAGCUGACUCAGGGGCCGGGGGUGAUCGUCCAACAGAUGAUAAAAUCAACUGGCCGAAGGCUCUUUCCUACAAACUUGUCACUGGCUUUCACCACUUCCCUAAAUUAUGAUUUUA